rnacentral:rRNA from 1 species
UACGUAGGCAGCGAGCGUUGUUCGGAGUUACUGGGCGUAAAGCGUGCGUAGGCGGUUGUCUAAGUCUGGUGUGAAAUCUCCCGGCUCAACUGGGAGGGUGCGCCGGAAACUGGAUGACUGGAGUGCCGGAGAGGUAAGCGGAAUUCCUGGUGUAGCGGUGAAAUGCGUAGAGAUCAGGAGGAACACCUGUGGUGUAGACAGCUUACUGGACGGUGACUGACGCUGAGGCACGAAAGCGUGGGUAGCAAACAGG